AACCCCUUCCCCACCGUCUCCAGAAACCUCCCGACCCUUCCACACCCACUCCCCCUCACCUCCCCAUCAUCCCGGCGGCAGCCUCCUGCGGGCCCCGGCCUUCCCCCGCGGCGGCGACGAGCAGAGCAGCCGACGACGACGGCCUCCUCCGCUGCGCCCCGGCCCCGUUAUUCCGCCGCCCCGGCCCCGUUAUUCCGCCGCCCCGGAGCCAUCCGUCCCGGGGCGAGGCCUCCGUGUUUCCGCCUCCGCUGACCGCCGCGGCAUGCUUCCCCUGCGGCGCCUCUCCACCGCUGACAUAUCUGAGACAGAGACGUCACCAAAACGGCUGCGAUCAGGGCAGGCCUCGCAGGAACCCCACCAGGCCUUCAGCAUCAAGUAUUUGUUGUUUGAUAUCUUGCUCCAUAUCCAGGAUCCAACAACCCUUCUGCAUGCUUCGCUCGUGUGUAAGGAUUGGUAUAAAAUCAUCUCAGAUCCUGGUUUCCUCAACCCUUUCCGCAAAAAACAAAUUAGCCAGUUCGUCGGGUUUUUUGGUGAGUUUGAUGGUGGGGAUGAUAUAGAAUUCAUACCGCUGCCACUGCCCCCUGAGUUUGCAUAUGUUGGCAAGUACCUAUUGACUUCAUUUUCGGGUGGUCUUAGAAAUGCGCAAGACAUUCGUGGUGGCUCUGUUCUUCUAAAACUGGAAGACUCGAUCGCCAUCUCCAAUCCAUUUAUGAAGAGUUUCCGCACAUUUCCACUAGCCCCACCUUUCCGGAAUAUUCAUGGCCAUCAUUGUGGUGAUUUUUACCUCUUCAAUGGUGAUAGCGUAGUCCGCGUGGUUAUCAUUGCCAUGGCUAAUCUUCUGCAUAUUCAGUUAUGUGUUCUCGAGUCUAGUACUUGGAUAGAGUAUAGAAACACCGUUGAUGUUGGUAUUUCUCUUGGGGAAGGGCCCUUCUGUAAGACUGCGCUGUGUGUUAACCGCUUUAUAUAUAUGCUCUCUAUUGAUGGAUUCUUAGUGAAAGUCAGAAUGGAGGAUUGUUCUGCAUCUGUCAUCCCUCUUCCAAAUGGGUCAUAUGAAUGGCGUUUUCAACAGAUAUGCCGAUCGAAUUAUUCUGAUUUCCUGUAUGUCCAUGUUGAUGGUUUCGACAUUCGAAUAUGGUCGUAUUUGUCAGAUACCUGGACUCCUGUCUUUAGGAUUCAUGUUCCUUCUAUAUUUGCCUGUCACAUUGAUAUUGUGGAAAGCCUUAAUUGUAUUGAGUGGGACACGUCAAGGAGUGGCUGGGGGGAGUUUUUGACAAUGUACGGUGUCUCCGAUGGGGUUGAGCAUAUUAUCAUGGGGAUUAAUGGUGUUGAGCAUUUAUAUCUACUGGAUUCUAUUAAUGGAACAGUGACGUUAAUUGGAUCCAACGAAGAAUUAAUUGAGAUUUCACCUUUUGUCACCUCUUGGAUCCCUUCAUUUCUGACUUUAAAGGAAAAGAGUGCUGAAAUUGAAUACGAAUGUCUUGAUAUAUUAGGUGAUGUGUUUGAUAGAUCUGGCAACGUGAUCACGAAAGAUCAUGCGUAUAUGCUCACUGCACUUUUAUCCCAGCUGAGCUCCACUGAAGCAAGUGUCAGAAAAAAGACUGUUUCGUGCAUUGCAUCGCUUGCUCCAUGUUUGUCAGAUGAUCUAUUAGCCAAGGCAACUUUGGAGGCUGUCCAAUUGCUGAAAAAAAGAAGGCAGAAGUCUGAAAUAACCCGAACGAAUAUCCAGAUGAUUGGUGCUCUAAGCUGCUCGGUUGGAUACCGGUUUGGACCACACCUUGCCGAAGCCGUUCCUUUGCUCAUAAGCUAUUGCACAAGUGCAUCAGAAAAUGAUGAAGAGCUCCGUGCAUGCAGCCUGCAGGCCCUCGAGAGUAUUAUGCUCAGAUGUCCAAGAGAUAUUUCCCCAUAUUAUGAGGGUAUUUUGAAUCUUGCUUUGGAAUAUGUAAGCUAUGACCCUAAUAUCACCGAUAGCAUGAAGGAGGAUGCUCACGGUGAAGUUCAGGAUGAGGAAGACGAUGAUGAGAGUGCGUCUGAAUACAAAGAUGACAAGAAUGCAAGCUGGAAGGUUCGUCAGGCAUCAGCGAAGUGCCUGUCUGCAAUUAUUGUAUCUUGUCCUCAGAUGUUGUUUAAGAUGUAUCAGGAGGCUUGUACGAAGUUAAUCAACCGCUUUAGGGAAAGAGAGGAGAAUGUAAAGAUGGACAUUUUCAAUACAUUUAUCGAGUUGUUACGCCAAACUGGUAAUGUGACAAAAGGACAAGGUGACAUUGAUGAGUCUAGCCCUAGAUGGUUGCUGAAGCAAGAGGUACCCAAAGUUGUCAAGUCUAUCGAUAGUCAGUUAUAUGAAAGAUCAAUCAAGACAAAGGUUGGAGCAUUCUCAGUAUUGAAGGAGCUUGUUGUUCUAUUACCAGAUUGUCUUGCUGAUCAUCUUGGGUCCCUUGUUCCUUGGAUUGAGAUGUAUUUGAAUGAUAAAUCUUAUACCUCCAGCCUGAAGAUUGAAGCCCUUGCAUUUACUAGGAUUCUUAUGGCCCCACAUUCGCCCUCUGUGUUUCAUCCAUACAUCCAGAUAUUAUGUGAUGCAAUAGUAUCUGCUAUUGGAGAUAUAUAUUACAAAGUCACCGCUGAUGCUCUACGGGCGUGCGGGGAGCUAGUCCGGGUUCUCCGUCCAAAUUUUGAGGCACGUUCCAUAAAUUGCAGGCCAUAUAUUAGUCCAAUCUAUGAAGCUAUAUGGGCCCGCUUGGCCAAUCAAGAUCAGGAAGUUAAUGAGUGUGCCAUAUCGUGCAUGAGCCUUGUGAUCGCUACUUUUGGUGAUGGUCUUCAAAGGGAAUUACCGUCAUGCCUAUCCUUACUUGUUGACAGGAUGAGCUAUGAAAUAACACGACUUACAGCAGUCAAGGCAUUUGCGGUGCUUGCGAAUUCACCUCUUCGGAUUGAUCUUUCAUGUGUCCUGGACCGUGUCGUUUCUGACCUUACAACUUUCCUUCGAAAGGCUAACAGAGCCCUUAGGCAGGCAACAACAGGAACCCUAGAUUCUCUGGUUGUUACAUAUGGGGAUCAAAUUGGCCUGCCCUCUUAUGAGACUAUAAUAGCUGAACUAUCUAUUCUUAUAAGUGACAUCGACUUGCAUAUGUCUGUUCUUGCGUUGGAACUCUGUCGCACAAUAAUGGUCGACAGAAGUUCCUUCCAAAAUGUUGGUUUAGCUGUGAGACAUAAAGUUUUGCCUCAGGCCCUUAUUUUGAUCAGGAGUGCUUUGUUACAAGGACGAGCACUAGAGGCGCUGCAGAAGUUUUUUACUGCACUGGUCCAGUCUGCAAAUACAACCUUUGAAACUUUGUUGGGCUCCCUUAUUUCCACUGCCAAACAGUCACAGUUGGGUGGCCUUGCCAAGCAGGCACUAUCCUCUAUUGCACAGUGUGUUGCUGUGCUAUGCUUAGCAGCUGGUGAUCAGAAGUGUGCAUUGACUAUUGAAAUGCUCGAAGGCAUUCUAAAUGAUGUCAGUUCUACUGAUACUGCUAAACAACACAUUGCCUUGUUAUGUUUGGGAGAAAUUGGAAGAAGGAAGGACCUCAGCAACCAUGUUCAAAUUGAGAACACUGUAAUUGAAUCAUUCCAGUCACCUUCGGAGGAGAUAAAAUCUGCAGCAUCGUACGCUCUCGGAAACAUUGCUGUUGGCAAUCUAUCCAAGUAUUUGCCAUUUAUCUUGGAUCAGAUUGACAAUCAACAGAAGAAUCCGUAUCUCUUGCUUCAUUCACUGAAAGAGGUAAUUGCAUGGCAGUCUGUUGAUCAUACUGGCCAGGAUGAGCUCCAGGACUCAAACAUUGUGAAGAUAUUGGCGUUGCUCUUUAAUCACUGCAAAAGUGAGGACGAAGGAGUUCAGGAUGUGGUUGCUGAGUGUUUAGGCAAAAUUGCACUUAUUGAACCUAACAAACUAAUCCCUGUUCUGAAGGAAUGCACAUCUAGCCCAGCAGCAAACACAAGGGCUACGGUUGCCAUUGCUAUAAAAUAUUCAAUUUGUUGAACGGCCUGGAAAGAUAGAUGCAAUCAUGUACUCUGAGAUUUCUACUUUCCUUAUGUUAAUCAAAGAUAGUGACAUGCAUGUGAGACGUGCAGCUAUCCUGGCGCUGAGUACAGCUGCCCACAACAAGCCAAAUUUGAUCAAAGGUCUUGUUCCUGAACUGCUCCCUCUUUUGUACGACCAGACUGUCGUGAAGGUAUUAUUUUCUGGUUUGGUUGCUUAUUUCCUUUCAUUAGUUAUGAUCUGGCGGCCAGUUUCCAGGGAUCCACGCGGUGCCAUUCUUGGAAGUUGGUAUGGAAGAGUUGGGCGCCUCCACGGGUAAAAAUUUUCCAUUGGCUCGCCGACCAGGAUCGCUGCUGGACUGCUGAGAGGCUCGCGCGACGUGGCUUGCAGCAUCACCCUCGAUGCCUCCUUUGCGACCAGGCCGUGGAAACUAUCCAGCACCUGCUGCUGACCUGCCCCUUUGCACGUCAGACCUGGCACAUUGUCCUUGAUUGGUUGAUUAUUCCGGUCCAAAUCCCCGAUCAGGAGCACACGGUCACGGAGUGGUGGCUGGGCGCGAAAGAGCUCGCGCCGCCGGCGCAUCGGAAGGCCCUCAAAUCCAUCGCGCUUCUUGUGCCCUGGAUGCUCUGGAAGCACAGGAACGCCUGUGUCUUCGACAACGCCACGCCAUCCAUCGAAUCACUAGUGGUUAGGAUCAAGGACGAGGCCCGGUGUUGGGCUGAAGCAGGAGCCCAGGGACUUCGGGUUGUUCUGCCCACAACCUGGGAUGUCCACUGAUUUUGUGCUUUUCUUUGUACUGCUCACCUCCUAGGAGGAUUGGUCUACCUUUUCCAUGAAAUGAAAUGCAAAGGUCCUUUGCGUUUUCUCGAAAAAAGUUAUGAUCUGGCGGUGCUACAUGCAAUUCACUGCUAGGUAGUAAUGAUUUCCUUCUUUGCAGCAAGAAUUGGUUAGGACAGCUUUCGAGCACGUCGUUGAUGAUGGGCUUGAACUUAGGAAAGCUGCCUUUGAAUGUGUGGACACAUUGCUGGAUAGUUGUCUUGAUCAAGUGAAUCCGUCGUCCUUCAUCGUUCCUUUCCUCUUAUCUGGUUUAGGUGAUCAUUAUGAUGUAAAAAUGCCCUGCCAUCUGAUUCUCUCAAAGCUAGCAGACAAGUGCCCCUAUGCUGUUCUUGCAGUUUUGGACUCAUUAGUUGAACCCCUUGAGGAAACUAUUGGUGACAAACCGACGGGUGAUGCAGUGAAGCAGGAGAUUGAUCGCAAUGAAGACAUGAUUCACAGUGCUCUUCAAGCAAUUGCUGCUCUAAGCCGCAUAAGUGGCAGCGGCUACAGCAUGAAGUUGAAGAAUCUGAUGAGCAAGAUAAAGGCCACUCCUUCAUUUUUGAAUAUGUUAGGAAAUACGUGCACAUGCCUGGGAAAUUCGAGGCGAUGAUCCAGCCUCGCAUUCGCCUUUUAUUGGCUGAAAGGUUGCACGGCAACAUGCGAGCAAAAGGAUGCUGAAGUGCUUUGCCAUCUGUCUUCCUGGUUUGUAGCUUAAAGGAGCGCCCGUCUCUGGUUCUUUGAUUUUGAGAUAGCUUACCACCUAUGCCAUGAAAGCCCCCCACGAACUAGCGCACAACUUGUGUGCGAUUCCUUUGCAAAUGUCUUGUACCAUUUCGGCUAGCUUCCUUUUUUUUUUCUGUAUUGUAUCUCACAGAG
rnacentral:rRNA from 1 species